rnacentral:lncRNA from 1 species
AAACAGCUCUCCAGAGCUCCAGCAACUCUGAUUUUGGGUCCCAGGGCCUGUACCUUGCUGAUAUGCCCCAUCCUCACCCCACUCCACCCUGUGCUCAUGACAAGCAGAGCCCAUGGAGUGUCUCUUCCAUUGAACACAACCAAGGAGGGAACAGGAUGGAGAACCUGAUACUUCAGAGGCAUGGCUCAAAGGAUCACCUUUUAUCUGAGGAAGUCUCCUUACUUAAUUUCUCUGCCUUUUUUGUCUUCAGACACUUUUCAGGAUCAACUUAUUUAGGACCCCAGAAAAAUGCUGGAGCCCCUACUACAUGUAUGAGUUUCAGUAUCACCCAAGCUUCUCAUUGGACCUGUGUCCUGAAAUGGUGAUAGGAGACCACGAGGAUGAGCUCUUCUGAGUGUUUGACUCCAUUUAUAAAAGACUCUAUGAAAAUGUGGGUGUGUGUAGGAAUUUGAGAAAAAACCCAAGAGCCAGCAAUCCUGCAAGUCAAAGGUAACUCUGGGUUGUGGCAUUUCAGUUCUGAUGGGGGAGGGGCAGGCAGGUGGGCAAGGAAAACAAAGGCAGCUAUCUCAUGGAUGGGCUGCAAGCUCAUUGGUGGGUCCUAGAUCAGCUGUCCCCACCAGGAUCUUCUUUAAAUGCAGAUUUUGACUCAGUAGGUGUGGAGAAAGGGCCAAGAGUUCAAUUCUAACAAGCUCCCAAAUGCUGCUGCUGCUGCUGGCUAUAAACCACACUCUGUAUAACAAAAUUUUUUCUUUUUCCCUAUAGAGGGUAUAUCAGAAGAAGAGAGGAACCUCAGCAAGAUGGUGAUGAAAUUCUGGGCAAGCUUUGCUCAGAAUGGUUGAGGGAUGGUAUGACAUGAUUUCUGCAUAGGGAUAGCUUCUAAAAUUUUACUGACUAAAACCCUGACUCUGUGGCCAUACUGUUCUGACAAUGAGAGAUCUCUAAUAAUGAACUGGCUGCCCAAGGAGGUAGAGAGCUCUCUGUCUUUGAAGGUACACAGGCAUCAUGGCAGUCACAAAUCAAGGGAUUCCUCCAAAUCUCAAAGAAGUGUGGAAAUCACACAGAAUUUUAAUUUUGAUUCUAUUUCCAGGAACCCCAAUGGGGAGGAAUUUCCCCACUGGCUGGAGUAUGACCAAAAUGAAGGGUAUCUGGAGAUGGGUGGUGAAGUCAGUCCAGAGAGAAUCCAUUAAGCUCUGACUGGGAGGUCCAGCCAGCUUUGGAAGCUUGGAGCUGUCAAGAUAGGCGUAUUGUUCUAUAGAAGCUGUUUGUAGGCAAAAGAGGAAUCUUAUUGUGGAGGCUGGAGAAUUAUGUGCUGGGGGUGAGCAGAGGCAAAGGAGGGGAAUGUUUGUACCUGUAGUCUCAAUUUGUUGAAUAAAUGUUCUUUUGGAAACC